CUAAUAUGCUCCUAAUGAUCCUCAGAAUGUGCUAGAGGAUGGUUGAAACCAAGCAGUGGCAUGUGCGGUAAUGUUAAAAUCUGACCUGUUUCACUAGUGAGGCUACACUGUUGCCACACUUAUGUUUAGCUUGUCAUGGCACAUCUAGUUUUAACCUCCCUUGGAGCACUUACUUUAGAAGGCACUGUAUUUAACUCCAACCAUUAUCCCAUCCCUUCAUGUAUUCUCUUAAAAUAUGAGAACAUGAUGCGUGUUAUUUUGUUAAAAGAAUUGGUUUGCACGAAGUUGCUCCUGUCAUCAUUGGCUUUCAGAGGAAGUUAAGACCUGAAGGUCUCAGUUCUCUAAUAGCAGGCUUGCAUCUUUGCUCUGUGGACUUGGAAGAAAACAGUAAUUAGCUGCCUCGGUUCCAGACAAGUUUGUAUCAGAGAGAGAAAGAAAAACGCACAGACAUGAUUUAGAGAGAAUGCAUUUCAUUGUGGUCCCUCUUGAUACAAGUUAAAAGCAUUUGGAGUUUGGAUAGUUCCUCUCUGGUCAAAUGGAUUGAUAGUAGAUUUGGAGUAGUAAGGGUGUGAAGUGUGUUGGAAUGUUUAUAGUAAUGCUCAGUUUGUUCCUUGUGGUCAGUCCUUCUCUGGGCGGAAUUACUUUGGUCUGAGACAUGAUAUUACCAGCAUUGUGGGUUGUAUAGAAAAACGGAAAUUUAAUGAACUACAUUAUAGCCAUAUGGUCAGAACUCUAGGGCCUCACUUUUUUCUGAAGUUCUAAGUAAUCACAUGCUCAAAAAAGCUACAUCUUUCACCUGGAUAAAUUCUUUGCCUUUGGCUAAAAUGUCUGACAUGUCAAUAUUCUUAGGAUUUUGGUGAUGCCAGUGUCUGUUACAGGUAAAAGGUGUAGCCCCCAUAGGUGUCACAACUUCUCAUUUUAUUACAUUUUUCCAGUCUUUACAUAUUUGCUUCCUGUGACAUAAAUUAUUCAGAAUUUAGGUGCUGUUUAAGAUUUUGAAUUUAGGUGAGAAUCUCUAAGGUAACAGUCAGAUACAGUAGAGCCCAAGCUCAGUUUCCCUGUAAAUGUCCAUAGGAUGCAAGUCCCCAAACCACUGGGGACAGGUGGGUUUGUAGGACUCGGAAAUUUUGGAUCUGAGGAAGGUAAAAUGGUGUGUGUUAUAUAGAACGCUGCUUGUGAGAUCGGGUGGCGCCCUUUAGUAACACACUAGUAUUUUGCAGCAAAGCCUGAAAUAUCCAUACUCAGUGAAAUAAAUAGUGAUUAAAAAUAGCCUCGUGCCAGUUAGAGUCUGGUUUUGCCACCAAAGUAAUUUGCCAGCCAUUUAUGAAAAGAAGUUCCAUUCUCAGACCUUUUUGGAUUUCAGAUUGACAGCUAAACUAUCGUAGACCUGCAACGUGAUAAGCAUCAUGAGAAGCACCACUGGCUUUCUGUACAUUUUGGCCAUAAUGUUUUAAAAUUUGGAGUCCUUGAAAAUAUAAAGGAAAUUAGAAGUGACCUCAGCUGGUACAGGUUUUUCUUCCGUUAGAAUCUUUUCAUAUUCUUUAAAAGAGCUAGUAAAUUUUUGAAUUGGCUACAGAAAUCUAAAGACUAAGUAAUUAUUGCAUUAGUCUAUUUGGCUUAGAGUUAAUUGCUUAGGCAAGGUAUUUCCAUUAGCACAGGGAAGCAAGAUGGCUGGAGUCUUAUUUUAAAGCACACACAGGCUCCUACAUACGUGUACCUUUGGUUUGCCUGUAUUCUGAACUGAAGGCAUUAAGGAUGAAAGGAUUGGAGCACCUACCUUUUGUAGGAUGAUUCUCUUGUACUGUCUGGUCCUUGUUGGAACUUGUCUAUUUAGGCUCUUCCUAGUUCUUCCCUCUAAUGCAGAACAGUUGCCUCGGUGAGUUCAGGGCUGCUCCCUCUGUGUAAGGCUUGCAACUGAUAGCAGCAAGCCAGCAGACAUUCCAGAAAGACCCUGUGUCAGAUCAAGGGCAGUUUCGUGUUAACUGAUACACAUGUGUUAGGGCAGAGUCCGUUGACUCAAGUAUAAUUUAAUACAAGGAAAGAUCAAAUAAUAAAUGAUAAAUGACAUUGUAGGGGGUCCCCUUGCAGCGCAUGCUCUCUGCAUCCCAGUGGAUGCCGUCUGGGCCGGCCCUGGAACCAGCUGUGCUGUGAGUGAAGCCCACACUGGCUAUGCCCAUCCAGAACAUUCGGUGUCUUUAGAGUGUUCUCUUGCUGUCUGGGAGGAUUGAUUACAGUAAUAAAGUGAUUCAUUGAUACCUCUUACUGAGGUUAGCUUUUAAAAUUAGUAAUUUACAACUGAUUUUUGACAGCACAUUUUAUGAGUGGCUUUGUUCUUUAAUUUCUGAUUCCCUUGAUUUGUAUCAGUCAAUUACUGUAGGGUGAUAGACUUUUUUUUUUUUUUUUUGAUGGAGUCUCACUCUGUUGCCAGGCUGGAGUGCAGUGAGCGAUCUCAGCUCACUGCAACCUCCCCCUCCCAGGUUCAAGCAAUUCUCCUCCCUCAGCCUCCCCAGUAGCUGGGACUAGAGGCGCAUGCCACCGCACCCAGCUA
rnacentral:lncRNA from 10 species